rnacentral:lncRNA from 1 species
GAUUAUGAAAAUAGUUUUAUGUAUGGUUGACAUAUUUUUUGAAUGAACGACAAGUACUUGAAUGGCUGAGUAAAAUAACUCAUAUCCAAGCAUUUGAGGAGAGGAAUCGAAGACUCAAGACCAUCUCUCUUUUCGUAUUGUUUAUUGUGAAAAUGAUUUGAUUAAGUUAUAAGUUUGUGGAAAAAUGACAAUUGUUUGACUAACCGAGUAAGAGAACUCGUAUUCAAACGAUUAAGGAGAGAAGUUGAAGGCUCAAAGUCAUCUCCCUUUUCAUUUCGUUAUUAUGAAAAUGAUUUGAUUUAAUUGAGUUAGAGGUUUGU